rnacentral:tRNA from 2 species
GACAGCUUGGACCAGCGGUUAAGGCGACAGACUCGUGAUCUAUUCGGGUAACCCGUGUGAGUUCAAGUCUCACAGCUGACG